rnacentral:rRNA from 1 species
CUUGGUGUGGUUGUUGCUGGCUCUUUCGAGGGCAUGUGCACGCCCACCAUCCUCAUCUCUCCACCUGUGCACCUCUUGUAGACUUGGAUUGACUUUCCGAGGCAACUCGGUCGGGAGGAUUGCCGGCGCCAGCUGGCUUUCUUUGCAUUUCCAGGUCUACGUUUUUCAUAUACCCCAUUGUAUGUAACAGAAUGUAACAUUGGGCACUUGUGCCUAUAAACUUUAUACAACUUUCAGCAACGGAUCUCUUGGCUCUCGCAUCGAUGAAGAACGCAGCGAAAUGCGAUAAGUAAUGUGAAUUGCAGAAUUCAGUGAAUCAUCGAAUCUUUGAACGCACCUUGCGCUCCUUGGUAUUCCGAGGAGCAUGCCUGUUUGAGUGUCAUUAAAUUCUCAACCUUUAUCAACUUUUGUUGAUAAUGGCUUGGAUAUGGGGGUUUAUUUUGCUGGCUUCUUUACAGAUGGUCAGCUCCCCUUAAAUGCAUUAGCCGGUGCCCCGCGUGGACUGUCUAUUGGUGUGAUAAUUAUCUACGCCGUGGACAUCUGCAAUCAUAUGGGUUUGCACUGCUUCCAACUGUCUGUUGAAUCAGACAAUACAUGACAAUUUGACCUCAAAUCAGGUAGGACUACCCGCUGAACUUAAGCAUAUCAAUAAG